GCCUGAAGGAAGGGCCAAAGAUGCCAUGAAGACAAAGAAGACAAUGAUUAACCUUGUGCUGGUGCUGGUGUCAACAGGGAGGAUCAAGCUUUGUCCAGGCAGCCUACAGUGAGGCUAAUAUAGAUAGCCUGUAAAGCCGCAAUCAUCCAUUCGGAGGGAUCACCUUCAAAAGAAAAAAAAAGAAAGCUGCGCCAAUCUCGACUAUAAACAGAAGAACAGAGAUAAAGAUGGGUGUAAAUGUUGGACUGUAGAACUUGCAUCAAAACGGGAACAAAUGAUCAAACUCCAGCCACCUCUCAUCAUGUCUAGUUUUGCUGGAUUGUGCUUUCUUUCAACACGAUCAAGAAAGUGAAAAGAAGGACACCACUAAAGUAUUUUUUAUUUCUCAUCUUUUCUCUUAUCACCUUUUCUCUUAUAUGGGUGGCAUGGUGGUGCAGCGGUAGCAGUGCCAGGGACCCAGGUUUGAUCCUGACUGCGGGCGCUGUUUAUAUGGAGUUUGUACAUUCUCCUCGUGACCUGCGUGGGGUUCCUCCGGUAACUCUGGGUCACCUCCCACACUUCAAAGACGUACAGAUUUGUAGGUUAAUUGGCUUGGUAAAAAUUGCAAAUUGCAGUAUUGAUGUGAGGGGAUCGCUGGUCGGCGCGGACUCGGUGGGCCAAAGGACCCGUUUCCACGCUGUAUCUCUAAACGAUACUAAAAUAAACUAAACCAUUACUCGUA